ensembl:lncRNA
CGCUGCGCCCGCCCCUUCCGCCCAGGGCCCGUCCUUUCCCGGUCAUCCCAGCCCCUUCCCGGCCAGGCUCCGCCCUCCACCCCGCCCCACGCCAGCCCGUCACUCAGCAGUCACUCGGUCACUUGGGGAAAAGCGGGCGCCAAGGGCAGAGUGGGCUGGGUUGCCGCCAGUUGCCCUGUCCCAGUGUCCCCCGCCCCCGACUGUCCCAGCCCACGCCCUGAACCCUCCGGAUGACGCUCGCCCAGCUCUUGGCGGCCAUUGGGACCCCUACUCCACUUCUCUGCACAUCUCGCGAGCCUCGGAUGGCGCCCGAGAGCCCAGGACCGGCCACGCGCGGACCUGCGCCGCCACCUGGUGGCCGCCGGCGCAAACGGCACCCAGGAUGCUCAGAAGAACAUUCGCACGACUGGAGCCAGGGAGAUGCAGAUGCAGCACCAAGUCCCAGAGGGAACACUAUGGGCCAAACGGCAGUGUGCAUGGCAGGAUGGUGUACAUGGCUCAACCCAAGGCCUCUCAGGAAUACGUCAAAAAGCCCCAAGAGAAGUUUACAGCAAUCUGAAGUAAAUGAAAAUGAAAACACAACUUACAAAAUUCAUGGAAUGCCAAGGAAACAGUGCCAAGAGGGAAAUCUGUAGCAUUAGAUGCACACGGUGUAAGUGAAAAGACCUGAAUUAGUAAUCUGGAUGUCUACUUUUGGAAACUACAGAAAAGUAAAGCAAUGAAAGUACUAAAGCAAGCAGAAGAAAUAACAAAAACUAGGGGAAAAUCAAUAAAACUAAAACCUUGUUCUUUGAAAAAACUUUUUCAAUGAAUUGAUAAACCACUGGCCAGGCUUAUCACAAACGGAAAGCAGACAUUACUCAGUAAGAGGAGCCCUCGCUGCUUACCCCAAGGGCAUGAAAGGGAUGAUAAAAGAAUAUUACGAACAAUUACAGGUCCACACAUUUGAUAACUUACAUGAAACGGACUGAUUUAUUGAAAGACACAAACUAUCCAACUCAUACAAGGAGAAACAAACUGACCAAGCCUAUAUCUAAUUAGAUUUAAAUAAUUAAUUAAUUUUCCAUGUUGAACCUGGGGCCUUGCACAUGCUAGGCAAGCACUGUACCACUGAGCUACACCACCAGCGCUCCACUGGUAAAUUCUACCAAACACUUAAGGAAUAUACCAAUUCUCUAUAAUUUCUUCCAGAAAAUAGCAAAGAGAACACUUUUUAAUUCAUUCAGAGGCAGUAUUCCCCUGAUAAAACCAAAACCAGAUAAAGACACAAGAAAAAAAAGGGGAAACUACAGACCAAUAUCUCUCAUGAAUGUAGAUGCAAAACUCCUCAACAAAAUAUUAGCAAAUCAAUUAUAGCAGUGUAUAAGAAUUCUACAUCACAGCCAAGUGAGGUUUAUUCCAGGGAUAUAAGGCUGGUUCAGCAUUGGAAAGCUAUUAAUGUAAUGUCGUCCAUCUCAUCAUCAACAGGUUAAGAAUGAAAAAACCACAUAAACUUAUCAUUUGUUGCAGGAGAAACAUUUGACAAAAUCCAAUACCCAUUCGUGAUUAAAACUCAAAACCUGGGAAUGAAGGAGAAUUUCCUUAACUUGAUAAAGAUCAUCAAAAAUGCUCAGCUAACAUCAGACAAUGGGGAGAGACUAGAUAUCUUCCUCCGCAAUCAGGAGCAAGACACUCUUCUCUCCCUACUCCUCCUCAGUAUUGUACUAGAAAUCCAGGCUAACAAAAUAAGACAAGAAGAAUAAAAUAUGUGCAAUUGGGAAGAAAAAAAUAGAAUUGUCUUAUUUGUAGAUGGCGUGACUAUGUAGGAAACCCCAAAGAAUUAACAAUAAAAGUCCUGGAACUAAUCGAGAAUUAUGGCAACAGUCCAGGAUACACGGUUAAUUUAUGAUAGUCACUUGCUUCCUAUUUACUAGGAAUAGACAAGGGUAAAUUAACAUUUAAUACACAAUACCACUUACAUUAGCACCACAAGAAAUGAAAUACUUAGGUAUAAAUCUACAAAUAUGUACAGGAUCUACAUGAGAACAACUACAAACCUCUGAUGAAAUAAAUCAAAGAUAUAAAUAAGUGGAGAGAUAGUCCAUUUUUAUCAGUAGGAACACAAUAUUGUCACAAUAUCAGUUCUCCCCAACUUGAUCUGUAGAUUCAAUACAGUCCCAGUCAAAAUCUAGCAAAUUACUUGUGGAUAUUGACAAACUGAUUCCAAAGUACAUGAGAAAAAUCAAACGCCCAGAAUACCCAGUUGCUGCAGCCGUAGCAACUCUGGCGCUGGCAGAGGACAGACCAACAGGCCAAGAGAACAGGACCAAGAACCCAAAACCAACCCAUGCAAGCACCACCAACUGCCUUUGACAAAGGAGCACAGAUCUAUGUGAGCUCCUGAACUAUUUUGGCUAUGAAUUCUGGUCCAUUGUUGGACUCCAAGGCCAGCUAUGGCAUGUCCAGACAUAACUCCAUCUUUGCCUCCACUCACGGCUAAAACCUCAAUGGUCCAGUGAUGCUGUGAUGCUCCAGGACAAGAUUACACCAGCUGAAGACAUCCUGGGAGGAACAAAAUCUUCAUCUGCAUAGUUCCUCAUUGUUCUAGGAUUUUCACCACCGUUGCUGCUGUUGGCCUCUGAAUCACCUUUUGCAUUUGUUUCUCCCGACGUACUGAAUAAAGGUGUGGCAAGCUGAGGGUCUUUUGUCUUUGCACCCAGAGCAGCACUGAUCAGGCCCAAAGCUCAGCUUCUUCUCUGUCUUAUUUCUUCUAUUUUUUCUGUCUAUAUAUUAAUUAAUUUGCCUUGUGCUGUCAUGCCUCACAGGAGACUAGGACUUAAUGCAGAGGUUCUAGUAACAUCCCUUUACCCUGUUUCCCUACAGUGGUGGCUGAGACUUGCUACCAUCUGAUCCUAUUUCCCCACAAACUGGUCCUGGUAAAGGCAGGUAGAUUGGGGCAUAAAGUGGGAGAAUGUCUGUCUCCUCUGGCAGCUUUCAUAGGGUUGGCUUUCUUGGUUCUCUUUAUUGCCCGCCCCCCCCCCGCUCAGGCCACAAAUGUCUUAUAAUAAAGCCUCCAAACGGGGCUGUAGCCAAGCGGGUCAAGUCUGGACUAUAUUUAACCAGGAGUCAAUGUAGGGAAACUGAUCCAGGUGCCCUGGCCAUUCUCUAUCUCUGGUUAACACUCUGUGUACAUCACCAAUCAUUCCCCUGUCAGUUGUCCCUCGGCCAACCACCCAACAUCAAAAGAGGGCCAAUUUAUUUCCCAAAGAGUUCUCAACCUUUGAGGGGUCACCUUUACUCCACAGUCCCCUAUAUGGUUUUUUUUCUUUUUUUUUGGUACCGGGGAUUGAACUCCAGUCCUUGCGCUUGCGG